GACGAACGCUGGCGGCGUGCCUAAUACAUGCAAGUAGAACGCUGAAGGAGGAGCUUGCUUCUCUGGAUGAGUUGCGAACGGGUGAGUAACGCGUAGGUAACCUGCCUGGUAGCGGGGGAUAACUAUUGGAAACGAUAGCUAAUACCGCAUAAGAGUAGAUGUUGCAUGACAUUUGCUUAAAAGGUGCACUUGCAUCACUACCAGAUGGACCUGCGUUGUAUUAGCUAGUUGGUGGGGUAACGGCUCACCAAGGCGACGAUACAUAGCCGACCUGAGAGGGUGAUCGGCCACACUGGGACUGAGACACGGCCCAGACUCCUACGGGAGGCAGCAGUAGGGAAUCUUCGGCAAUGGACGGAAGUCUGACCGAGCAACGCCGCGUGAGGGAAGAAGGGUUUCGGAUCGUAAAGCUCUGUUGUAAGAGAAGAACGAGUGUGAGAGUGGAAAGUUCACACUGUGACGGUAUCUUACCAGAAAGGGACGGCUAACUACGUG
rnacentral:rRNA from 1 species